AACGCUAGCUACAGGCUUAACACAUGCAAGUCGAGGGGAAACGACAUCGAAAGCUUGCUUUUGAUGGGCGUCGACCGGCGCACGGGUGAGUAACGCGUAUCCAACCUGCCCACCACUUGGGGAUAACCUUGCGAAAGUAAGACUAAUACCCAAUGAUAUCUCUAGAAGACAUCUGAAAGAGAUUAAAGAUUUAUCGGUGAUGGAUGGGGAUGCGUCUGAUUAGCUUGUUGGCGGGGUAACGGCCCACCAAGGCAACGAUCAGUAGGGGUUCUGAGAGGAAGGUCCCCCACAUUGGAACUGAGACACGGUCCAAACUCCUACGGGAGGCAGCAGUGAGGAAUAUUGGUCAAUGGACGAGAGUCUGAACCAGCCAAGUAGCGUGCAGGAAGACGGCCCUAUGGGUUGUAAACUGCUUUUAUAAGGGAAUAAAGUGAGUCUCGUGAGACUUUUUGCAUGUACCUUAUGAAUAAGGACCGGCUAAUUCCGUGCCAGCAGCCGCGGUAAUACGGAAGGUCCGGGCGUUAUCCGGAUUUAUUGGGUUUAAAGGGAGCGUAGGCCGGAGAUUAAGCGUGUUGUGAAAUGUAGAUGCUCAACAUCUGAAUUGCGGCGCGAACUGGCAGACUUGAGUGUGCGCAACGUAGGCGGAAUUCGUGGUGUAGCGGUGAAAUGCUUAGAUAUCACGAAGAACU
rnacentral:rRNA from 1 species